rnacentral:rRNA from 1 species
AGCGAACGCUGGCGGCAGGCCUAACACAUGCAAGUCGAACGAACCCUUCGGGGUUAGUGGCGGACGGGUGAGUAACACGUGGGAACGUGCCUUUAGGUUCGGAAUAACUCAGGGAAACUUGUGCUAAUACCGAACGUGCCCUUCGGGGAAAGAUUUAUCGCCUUUAGAGCGGCCCGCGUCUGAUUAGCUAGUUGGUGAGGUAAUGGCUCACCAAGGCUACGAUCAGUAGCUGGUCUGAGAGGAUGACCAGCCACAUUGGGACUGAGACACGGCCCAAACUCCUACGGGAGGCAGCAGUGGGGAAUCUUGCGCAAUGGGCGAAAGCCUGACGCAGCCAUGCCGCGUGGAUGAUGAAGGUCUUAGGAUUGUAAAAUCCUUUCACCGGUGAAGAUAAUGACUGUAGCCGGAGAAGAAGCCCCGGCUAACUUCGUGCCAGCAGCCGCCGCAGUAA